CUGUAGGUUUUAAGUUUAGGAAUGUUGGGGAAGCUAUUAUUGAGUGGGAAGGACACAGCAGAGAUAGGGGUGCUAAAUGUGGACAGACACAGCGGGCUGUCACCCUGGAAAGCAGCGCGCUGGGCACUGUGGUUUGCAAAGCAGACAUGCAUCCUAAUAAGGAGACACACAGAGAGACAGAGACCCAGGCUGAGAUGUACAAACCGAGAAGACGGAGUCAGAAGAACAGAGAAGAAGGAAAAAAAAACUUGGAAAGGAUCAGGAGUCACUUUGGGGAAAACUUUAGUUUCAGGAUGGACAGGAAGUAGAAACCGAGGCCCACCCACCAGUUCCCAGGAACCUCUGGUCACUUGGAACUGUAAGUGGCUCUUUUCCGGUCAUUCCUACUACGACCCCCUGAACCCCAGGGCCUGAUUAAACACUUAGGAGGCACUCGGGAUACUUAAAAGUUUGGGGCCUCUUACACCAUGGGCAAUGAAUAACAGAGAAAUAAAAGCUUGAGAAUGAUAAAUCAUUAAGCGGCUUUCCUGAUGCUCUGCGGGUUGAAUGUAAAUGCCAACGUGAGUCGUGGCUGCCGGCACGGGCAGAGCCUCUCUCUCCCGGGUCUUGGACCCUCGACCUCCUUAGUUUCUCCCAGCAGGACCUGUUUUCCAUCAGUCCUCUUCCCAGAGCUCUGCUUUCCCCCCACCAGUGCCUUACAGGGUCCUUCUUCCCCUCAGAGGCCCAUCCAGCCUCCAGCAGCCCCAAACUGCUCCUCUUUCUGAAGGGCUUUCGCUAGGGCAGAGUGAGUUCUCAGAAACGUGCCAUAGGAGGAGGGAAUUGGGCACAUUCGGCCUUUUUUUUUUGCGGUACACGGGCCUCUCACUGUCAUGGCCUCUCCCGUUGCAGAGCACAGGCUCCGGACUCGCAGGCUCAGUGGCCAUGGCUCACGGGCCCAGCUGCUCUGCGGCAUGUGGGAUCCUCCCGGACCGGGGCACGAACCCGUGUCCCCUGCAUUGGCAGGCGGACUCUCAACCAGUGCGCCACCAGGGAAGCCCACAUUUGGCCUUUUAAAGAGAAGACUAGUGCUUAAGAGACAGAAGCAGAGACAGAGGGACGUGCCAUAGCUCUCUUCAAAUAUUUCCAAGUCUCUUAGUGGGGGUUAGAUGUGUUCAUGUAGCUCCCAAGGACGGCAUUAGGACCAAGGGUCAGAAUGAACGUGGGGAAAUACUUUAGAAUAUUGUUAACAAUUUACUGGUGUCCAACAAAGAUCUGGGCUGCCAGAGGUGGUAGUGAGGUCCCCAUCACUGGCUGUAUUCAAGCAUACAUGGGAUGAUUGCCUGUCAGGAAUACUGCAGAGGAGAUUUCUACCCUGGAUGAAGUGUUGGUGCUUUUAGGCCCCUUUUACCCCCCCAUAACCUAAGGGUCUUCCAGAGGUGGGGCAGGGCUCCCUGGGGGUGGGCUGUUAAGCAGCACCCAUUUCUGGUCAGUGGAGGUAGCUGUGAUCCUCCACCAGACUCCCCAGUAUGCUUUUGGGGUGCAUCUUGUGCGGUUGAGCCUUUCAGGCUCACGUUUUCACGACUAGCAUUGUCCCCAUCACUCCAUCAAGUGGUCUUGCCCUCCACAGCUGUUCAGGCCUGGCUGGAGAUGCUACAAGGCUGUCAGCUGUACCCGCAAGAGCCCGGCCACCCCCCUGCCUGCCCUGCCUGCCCUCUGCUGGGCUUUGGGAAGGAGCCCGGGCAGCGAGCCGUGAUGCUAUCCCAAAGACUGGCAGUAUCUUCGCAAAGCACAGGCCCAGAAGCACAGAUUCUGAGGAAGUUCUAGCUCCUUCCACAGCAUCAAUACUCUCUUGCUACUCCCAGGGGAGGCAAAGUUAUUGGAAGUCUGGGUUCUACAGACAAAUUGCCUGGGUUCCAACGUCAGCUCUAUCACUGCCUAGCUCUGUUGUCUUGGCACUUAGAAGGACCCAAUGCUGGAUCCCAGAAAGACAUUCAUGGAAGUGGAUGCCAGAGGGUCAGUUAUCCAUGCAGCGAUGACCCUUCUAUGAACCAUCCAUGGUGACCUGGGGCUUCCUCUUCACCGACCCAACAAGCCCCCAGUCCCUGAUGGAAGCUGAAAACCACUGACCGGGAACCCAGAGAGCUUCCUUAACCAGCAGCAGUGCUGGGCCAGCUCAGAGCCUCGUGGGGCGUGAAGGACUCGGUUUGGGAGGAUCGUAUUAUUCCCCCAGUUCCUCUGCGAACGAAGCCAUCGUAUUCAGGGAUGGCGCACAGCAGUGUCACCGGCUGCCCCGAUACCACAGCCUGGUCCUGGGGCUGCUGGCUGAAGGAGUACACUUGACCUAGGAAGGAAACGAAUGCAACGGUCAGUUACUUGCCGGAAGGGCUUCCCCUCGAGCUAUGGAAGCAGAGCCCAGGCUGCCCUGGGGGACAAGGACCCCCAGAGCACCUCCCUACCUGCCUGGGGCCCAGCUGCGGCUCCUUCACUGCCCCCAGCUCCAUCCCCUGCUUGCAGGAGCUGGGCCCGGCUGCAGGCUCCCUGCCCAUCAAUCCCCAGCGCACUCACGCUGUGGUCCAGCCAUCCUCCAGCCCCCAAAACGGGCCAUGUGCUACUGCACUUGGCACGUGUUAUUCCUCUUUCCCCUUAACGCCACUUCCUGGUGCCUACUUCCACAAGGGGCAGAGGCAGGAGAGAGACCCCCAGUUGGAAGCACUCUGGGGGGGCGGGGUGUGCUUCAAGAGGGCAACAGGCGUAGGGCGUGGUGUGCUUUGGUUAAACCUGAGAAUCCAAGAAAUAUCAAUAAUAUCAUAGUUUUAGUGAUUCCCAGGAUGGGACUAGGGCCAAAUUUGGCGGGAUGAGGGGUGGUGUAGUGUGAGGGAUGGUGGGGUUGAGUGAGCAGGUAAUCGUCUCCUGUCUCUUUCUUUUCUGCAGCAGACCCUGCACCAGCCUCUCUGUCACUGGGAGCAAAUCAUCAGUGUGAACCCACACCUGCCCAUACACACCUCCCUGAACCAUCUAAGAUGCAAAUACACAGGACCUGGUGGGCAGGCUGCCCCUCCACCUGGAGAGAGUCAGAGGUGGCCACAGAAGUCCUGGACACUGGCUGCUGUCCAACUUGGGGACAGAGCCCCCGGCUUCGACCAUGGUUAGGGCCAAGCUCUCAGCAGCAGACGGCCCUAAGAAGGGAGCCAUUGGUGUGUGGCUCCAAGGGGCACCGGGGAUGGCAGUGGAGGAGAGACAGAGGUCCACACUGGAGAGUUUGUGGCAGGCGGGAAGGUAGCUGAGUUUUCAACCUGAUGAGCUCUUGGCUGGGUCUCUGAGGGAUCUCAUUAAAAAUCAAAUCGGCCCUGAAUUGUGAGAGUAACACUUUUUAUUCUGAUUUGAGCUUUAUAAAUUAGAUUUCAUAGGACAUUAUCAUCAGCUAUGUGUGGUGGGGUGGGAUUUUUUUUUCUUUCUUCCUUUCUGUCUCUUCAAGUUCCCUGUUGUAAUUAGACCGUUUCUGGCACCAAAACAAGAGAGAGAAGGAGGGAAGAGAUGAGAGGAGAAAGGGAGGGAGAGACCAGAGAAGGAGCGAGAGAGGGAGGGGAGUGAGGAGAGCAGGAGAGCAGGAGUGGAGAGGAAGAGAGAGAUGGAGAGAAGGCAGAGGGAGAACAGGAGGAGGAAGAGGGGCGGGAGACGCUGGGAUGCAGAGAGGAUGAGUGAGCGGGAGACCAGUCCUCUCCCAGCCUCCUUCUCCAGGCUCUAAUGAUGAUUUCACAGCGCAUUCUUCUGUCUCAGCAUCUUCCUUGCAAGGACAGUGUCAAGACAGCAGCAGUAGCUGCGGAAGAUUGUGUGAUCGGAGAGAAGCAUCGGGUUGUCAGCUGAGAGCCAGGGCUGGGAUAAGCUGGCUCUCAGCAGUGGAGCCUGAGCCCCCAGAAUGCCCCUGAAUAGGGAGGCCUGCGGUGGGAACUGGGCUGGUCUCCCCGCCACCGCACCCCAGUCCCGCUUCCUCUUGGUGUUGGUCAGGGUGCCCGGAGAGCUGGAGUGCAGGAAGCAUCCCCAGGCCAAGGUGCGGGCUGGGGCAAGGGUGAGGAGCCCAAGGGUGACGGGUGUGGCAGUGCCCCAGGGAGAAGAGGGGCUGUCACCAUGGAAACUGGGCUCUGGAGGGGCUGGGAGGAGAGGUUGUCAGAAGCAGGCGUG